rnacentral:tRNA from 1 species
GAGGGUGUAGCUCAGUGGUAGAGUGUGUGCUUCACAUGCAUGAGGUCCUGGGUUCAAUCCCCAGUACCUCCA